rnacentral:tRNA from 2 species
GCGGAAGUGGCGGAAUUGGUAGACGCGCACGUUUGAGGGGCGUGUGGGGAAACCCGUGAGGGUUCGAGUCCCUCCUUCCGCA